GAUGAACGCUGGCGGCGUGCCUAAUACAUGCAAGUCGAGCGAACAGACGAGGAGCUUGCUCCCCUGACGUUAGCGGCGGACGGGUGAGUAACACGUGGAUAACCUACCUAUAAGACUGGGAUAACUUCGGGAAACCGGAGCUAAUACCGGAUAAUAUAUUGAACCGCAUGGUUCAAUAGUGAAAGACGGUUUUGCUGUCACUUAUAGAUGGAUCCGCGCCGCAUUAGCUAGUUGGUAAGGUAACGGCUUACCAAGGCAACGAUGCGUAGCCGACCUGAGAGGGUGAUUGGCCACACUGGAACUGAGACACGGUCCAGACUCCUACGGGAGGCAGCAGUAGGGAAUCUUCCGCAAUGGGCGAAAGCUUGACGGAGCAACGCCGCGUGAGUGAUGAAGGUCUUCGGAUCGUAAAACUCUGUUAUUAGGGAAGAACAAAUGUGUAAGUAACUAUGCACGUCUUGACGGUACCUAAUCAGAAAGCCACGGCUAACUACGUG
rnacentral:rRNA from 1 species